GAUGAAGAACGCAGCGAAAUGCGAUAAGUAAUGUGAAUUGCAGAAUUCAGUGAAUCAUCGAAUCUUUGAACGCACAUUGCGCCCGCCAGUAUUCUGGCGGGCAUGCCUGUUCGAGCGUCAUUUCAACCAUCAAGCCCCCGGGCUUGUGUUGGGGACCUGCGGCUGCCGCAGGCCCUGAAAAGCAGUGGCGGGCUCGCUGUCACACCGAGCGUAGUAGAUUUUAUCUCGCUCAGGGCGUGCUGCGGGUUCCGGCCGUUAAACCACCUUCAUAACCCAAGGUUGACCUCGGAUCAGGUAGGGUUACCCGCUGAACUUAAGCAUAUCAAUAAGCGGAGGA
rnacentral:misc_RNA from 1 species